AUGAUCAACUCUCAGAUGGCCAAUUGCUUGUGGAAUGAUUUUGAAGGCCAUAGGAAACUACACCUAGCUAACUGGAGACUUGUGUGUAUGAAAAAGGAAUUUGGAGAUCUGGCGAUUCCCAACCUCCAUGACAUUAAUCUCUACUUGUUAGGGUUUGCGCGUGGCGGCGAGGUUCUUCUCCGAGACAUUGGGCGCAUCCAGAGCUGGCUCGUACCAAGCAGGCAGCGCAACAGCCUUGGCCUUUCGGGGCGCCAUUGGUCGGAGGCUCGGAAGGGGAUUGGAGCAGAUCUGGGGAUUUCGGAGGCAAGGAGCGAGAAAGGGGAUCUGGAGCAAGGCAAAAGGAAGCAAUGA
rnacentral:rRNA from 1 species